rnacentral:rRNA from 1 species
AGUGAACGCUGGCGGUAGGCCUAACACAUGCAAGUCGAACGGCAGCACAGUAAGAGCUUGCUCUUACGGGUGGCGAGUGGCGGACGGGUGAGGAAUACAUCGGAAUCUACUUUUUCGUGGGGGAUAACGUAGGGAAACUUACGCUAAUACCGCAUACGACCUACGGGUGAAAGCAGGGGAUCUUCGGACCUUGCGCGAUUGAAUGAGCCGAUGUCGGAUUAGCUAGUUGGCGGGGUAAAGGCCCACCAAGGCGACGAUCCGUAGCUGGUCUGAGAGGAUGAUCAGCCACACUGGAACUGAGACACGGUCCAGACUCCUACGGGAGGCAGCAGUGGGGAAUAUUGGACAAUGGGUGCAAGCCUGAUCCAGCCAUACCGCGUGGGUGAAGAAGGCCUUCGGGUUGUAAAGCCCUUUUGUUGGGAAGGAAAAGCAGCAGGUUAAUACCCCGCUGUUCCGACGGUACCCAAAGAAUAAGCACCGGCUAACUUCGUG